AAUUUACUAGGCCGGGGACCUAAAAUAGCGACAAACGCUCGGAUUGGUCGCAUAAUACUGCGCACAGUUUUGGCCAACCGGGACGUUCCACCCCUAAAAUUGCUUCAGAGGUACAAGAACAAUAUAUAGUGUCGGGUACACCUCAAACAAUCAGAAAUAAAAUUCGGGAAAUUGGGAUUAAGGGCCCCAUUACACGCAAGGAACUGUUAAUCUCAAUUAAGAAUAUAAAGGCGUGCACUGAAUGGGCCACGAAACAUAGCGUUUGGACUGCUAAGCACUGGAAAUGAGCGAUUUGGAGUUAUGGGACCAAGUUUAAUCUGUUUGGGUCCGACAGGACUAUUAAAGUUUGGAGAAAACCUAGAGAAGUCCUGAAACCCCAGUGCAUGAGGAGGACCGUGAAGCAUGGGGGCAGCAAUGUCAUGAUUUGGGACUCAAAGUCAUGGAUUGGAGUUGGCAUAUUACAUUUUUUUUGCACAAGCAUGACCAAGGAGGUCUACAAGACCAUUUUAGACGUCAAUUUGGUGAGUCCUCGAGUAGGUUGCACUUUGGAGAUAACUUUGCCUUCCAGGAUGGCGGGGGCCCCAAGUAUGCAGCGAAGAUCUUCAAGCUGUUCCUCGAAGAAAACGUGGUGACCGUUCUUCUUGGGGUUCCCCAAUCUCCGGAGCUAUACCCCAUCGAACAUUUAUGGGCUGAAUUGGAGCGUAGGUUUUGUCACCGCCAUGUAUCAUCCACGGAUGAUUUGAAGGUGAUCAUCGCCAAAUAAUAGGAGAAUACAUGACCGGGAGUGAAAAAGAAAUUGGUGGAAUCUAUGCCACGUCACCUCCAGAUAAUAAUUGAAGCAAAAGGGCUGUCGACGAGGUAUUGAUAAACCGGUACAAAUUUUUGAUGAUGAAAAAUUAAAAGGGUGCCUUCAAUUAUUUUGCGUGGUUUUUAGAAUAUUGUUUCUCUCUACCAAUAUUUACAUACAACCGAUAACUUUAGCAAGUAACUGUUGUGAUUUUUCAAAUCUCCAUUAAAUUUUCUGUAUAAUUGAUACAACUUAUAGUUAAAACACCUUCUCAGAAAAUUCAAAAACAAGGGUAAGUGUCGUCAUUGCCGAAGGUGCCUUCACCCGUUUUGCUUAGUGUAUGUACAUAUGUGACAUACAAUGAAUUGGUUUUCCCCACAAGUAUGUAUAUAGGGUACAAUUUACACAAUUUUGGAAGGUUAUUUUGUAUUUUUAUUUUGGUCCCCUUAUUUCACUACACAGUAUUUAAAUCAUUUUCAAUAUUUACAUCAUAUUCAGAACGAGGCCUUGCCCGGGCUAAUCAAUUUAGGCAUCGUGGACGGGAAAAGGUUCUAUUUCCAAGAAACUUUCAUGAACUGGACGGAUGCUAAAACGUACUGCAAUUCCUCUGGGCUCCGACUUGCCGAAGUAAAUUCGCCUGCUCAGCAAGAAUUUCUAAAAACGAAACAUUCAAUGUUGCAACCGCCUCAACCAUACUGGAUGGCCGGAAUAGAUUCACAACAGAGCACACAAAUGGUGUGGGAAAGGACAAAAGAACAACUUCCAGACUUACACCAAAAAUGGCGCUUCUCAAUUCCAUACUCAUGUUUGACAUGGGCCACAUGGCCCGAGAACCAUCCCGACAAUGGGAUAUGGGAGUCCAAGUUGUGUUCCGUGGAGUGGCGCCCGCUCUG